ensembl:lncRNA
CUGAAAAGCUCUCCCUCAUGACUCCAUGAGGCUUUGGGGAACAUUUAGACACAAAGCAUAACAGGAGUCAUUAUGGUUUAGACCUAAAUGUUCCCCCAAAGUCUUGCGUGUUCAGAGGUGGGGAGCUUUCAGAAGGUGAUUGGAUCGUAAGGGUGCUAUCACUGGAUCAAUCCAUGGGUUGAGCAGGUCUCCUCCCCUAGCCUCUCUGCCAUGCCAUUUCUGCCUUGGAGCCAGCUGUUGACUGAACUCCCUGAAACUGCCAGCUAUGGCAUUCCUAGACAUAAUUCCAUUUUGGCUCCCGGUCCCAAUGAAACCUCAAUGAUCCAUCCGGUGAUGCUAUGAUGCUCCAGGACAAGAUUACACCAGCUGAAGACAUCCUGGGAGGAACAAAAUCUUCAUCUACUCAGUUUCUCAUUGUUCUUGUAUUGUUACACUUUGUUUAUCCUGAUGUACUGAACUCUCUGCAAGUCAUCUGUUACAUCUGUUUCUCCCUAUGUACUGAAUAAAAGGUGAGGUAAGCUGAGGGCUUUUCUCUUUUGCUGCCCAGAGCAGCACUGAUCAGACC